rnacentral:rRNA from 1 species
UCCAGACUCCUACGGGAGGCAGCAGUGGGGGAUAUUGCACAAUGGGGGAAACCCUGAUGCAGCAACGCCGCGUGGGUGAAGGAGCGUUUCGGCGCGUAAAGCCCUGUCAGCGGGGAAGAAGAAAGACGGUACCCGACCAAGAAGCCCCGGCUAACUACGUGCCAGCAGCCGCGGUAAUACGGAGGAUGCGAGCGUUAUCCGGAUUUAUUGGGUUUAAAGGGUGCGCAGGCGGAAGAUCAAGUCAGCGGUAAAAUGGGGAGGCUCAACCUCUUCGAGCCGUUGAAACUGGUUUUCUUGAGUGAGCGAGAAGUAUGCGGAAUGCGUGGUGUAGCGGUGAAAUGCAUAGAUAUCACGCAGAACUCCGAUUGCGAAGGCAGCAUACCGGCGCUCAACUGACGCUCAUGCACGAAAGUGUGGGUAUCGAACAGGAUUAGAUACCCCAGUA